rnacentral:rRNA from 1 species
CCUACGGGAGGCAGCAGUGAGGAAUAUUGGUCAAUGGACGAGAGUCUGAACCAGCCAAGUAGCGUGAAGGAUGACUGCCCUAUGGGUUGUAAACUUCUUUUAUAUGGGAAUAAAAUGUUCCACGUGUGGGAUUUUGUAUGUACCAUAUGAAUAAGGAUCGGCUCACUCCGAGCCAGCAGCCGCGGUAAUACGGAGGAUCCGGGCGUUAUCCGGAUUUAUUGGGUUUAAAGGGAGCGUAGGUGGAUUGUUAAGUCAGUUGUGAAAGUUUGCGGCUCAACCGUAAAAUUGCAGUUGAAACUGGGAGUCUUGAGUACAGGAGAGGUGGGCGGAAUUCGUGGUGUAGCGGUGAAAUGCUUAGAUAUCACGAAGAACUCCGAUUGCGAAGGCAGCUCACUGGACUGCAACUGACACUGAGGCUCGAAAGUGUGGGUAUCAAACAGGAUUAGAUACCCCAGUAGUC